rnacentral:rRNA from 1 species
GACGAACGCUGGCGGCGUGCUUAACACAUGCAAGUCGAACGGAAAGGCCCUGCUUUUGUGGGGUGCUCGAGUGGCGAAAGGGUGAGUAACACGUGAGUAACCUGUCAUUGACUUUGGGAUAACUUAAGGAAACUGGGGCUCAUACCGGAUAGGAGCUCCUGCUGCAUGGUGGGGGUUGGAAAGUUUCGGCGGUUGGGGAUGGACUAGCGGCGUAUCAGCUUGUUGGUGGGGUAGUGGCUUACCAAGGCUUUGACCGGUUGCCGGGCUGGGAGGGUGGCCGGACCCGUUGGAACUGGAAUGAGACCCGGACUAGACCCGGAGGGAGGGGUGGAGAAGUGUGUACAAGGGGCGGGAGGCAAGUGUAACAACGCAACGUGGGGGAAGUCAGGAAGGCGGUUGGAAACCACAUUCCCCUUACACGGAGCGAGAAUGACAGUAAUGGGAUAAGAAGCACCGGCUAACUACGUG